rnacentral:rRNA from 1 species
GACGAACGCUGGCGGCGUGCCUAAUACAUGCAAGUAGAACGCUGAAGAGAGGAGCUUGCUCUUCUUGGAUAAGUUGCGAACGGGUGAGUAACGCGUAGGUAACCUGCCUUGUAGCGGGGGAUAACUAUUGGAAACGAUAGCUAAUACCGCAUAACAAUGGAUGACACAUGUCAUUUAUUUGAAAGGGGCAAUUGCUCCACUACAAGAUGGACCUGCGUUGUAUUAGCUAGUAGGUGAGGUAACGGCUCACCUAGGCGACGAUACAUAGCCGACCUGAGAGGGUGAUCGGCCACACUGGGACUGAGACACGGCCCAGACUCCUACGGGAGGCAGCAGUAGGGAAUCUUCGGCAAUGGGGGCAACCCUGACCGAGCAACGCCGCGUGAGUGAAGAAGGUUUUCGGAUCGUAAAGCUCUGUUGUAAGUCAAGAACGAGUGUGAGAGUGGAAAGUUCACACUGUGACGGUAGCUUACCAGAAAGGGACGGCUAACUACGUG